UCUCUUGGAACAGAGCGUCAUAGAGGGUGAGAAUCCCGUCUUUGACACGGACUACCAGUGCUUUGUGAUGCGCUCUCAAAGAGUCGAGUUGUUUGGGAAUGCAGCUCAAAAUGGGUGGUAAAUUCCAUCUAAAGCUAAAUAUUGGCGAGAGACCGAUAGCGAACAAGUACCGUGAGGGAAAGAUGAAAAGCACUUUGGAAAGAGAGUUAAACAGUACGUGAAAUUGCUGAAAGGGAAACGCUUGAAGUCAGUCGCGUUAGCUAGAACUCAGCCUUGCAUUUUUGCUUGGUGCACUUUCUAGUUGACGGGCCAGCAUCAGUUUUGACUGCGGGAUAAAGGUCAGAGAAAUGUGGCACCUUCGGGUGUGUUAUAGUCUCUGAUUGUAUACCGUGGUUAGGACUGAGGAUCUCAGCACGCCUUAAUGGCCGGGGUUUGCCCACGUUCGUGCUUAGGAUGCUGGCGUAAUGGCUUUAAACGACCCGUCUUGAAACACGGACCAAGGAGUCUAACAUACCUGCGAGUGUUUGGGUGGUAAACCCGAGCGCGUAAUGAAAGUGAUAGUUGGGAUCUCUGUCGUGGAGAGCACCGACGCCCGGACCAGACCUUCUGUGACGGCUCCGCGGUAGAGCAUGUAUGCUGGGACCCGAAAGAUGGUGAACUAUGCCUGAA
rnacentral:rRNA from 1 species